rnacentral:rRNA from 1 species
UGCCAGCCUCCGCGGUACUACUGAUUGUCCAAGCGUUAUCCGGAUUUAUUAGGUUUAAAGGGUCCGCAGGCGGGAUAUUAAGUCAGUGGUGAAAGCCUACAGCUCAACUGUAGAACUGCCAUUGAUACUGAUAUUCUUGAGUGUGGUUGAAGUGGGCGGAACAUGUCAUGUAGCGGUGAAAUGCAUAGAUAUGACAUAGAACACCAAUUGCGAAGGCAGCUCACUAAGCCAUUACUGACGCUGAGGGACGAAAGCGUGGGGAGCGAACAGGAUUAGAUA